UUCCGGUUGAUCCUGCCGGAGGACAUUGCUAUUGGGAUUCGAUUUAGCCAUGCUAGUCGAGCGAGUUCAGUCUCGCGGCGCAUAGCUCAGUAACACGUGGCCAAGCUCCCCUUCAGUCGGCAAUACCCUCGGGAAACUGAGGCUAACGGCCGAUACACGACGCCAGCUGGAAUGCGGCGUCGACGAAAGAGAUCGCUGAAGGAUGCGGCUGCGGCCGAUUAGGUAGACGGUGGGGUAACGGCCCACCGUGCCAGUAAUCGGUACGGGUGAUGAGAGUCGGAGCCCGGAGACGGAAUCUGAGACAAGAUUCCGGGCCCUACGGGGCGCAGCAGGCGCGAAACCUUUACACUGCACGGAAGUGUGAUAGGGGAAUCCCAAGUGCGAGGGCAUAUUAGCCCUCGCUUUUCUCAACUCUAAGGUGGUUGACGAAUAAGAGCUGGGCAAGACCGGUGCCAGCCGCCGCGGUAAUACCGGUAGCUCAAGUGACGUCCCAUAUUAUUGGGCCUAAAGCGUCCGUAGCUGGCCGGCCAAGUCUAUCGGGAAAUCCACCCGCCCAACGGGUGGGCGUCCGGUAGAAACUGGCUGGCUUGGAACCGGAAGGCUCAGAGAGUACGUCCGGGGUAGGAGUGAAAUCCCGUAAUCCCGGACGGACUACCGAUGGCGAAAGCACUCUGAGAAGACGGCUUCGACAGUGAGGGACGAAAGCUCGGGUCUCAAACCGGAUUAGAUACCCGGGUAGUC
rnacentral:rRNA from 1 species